rnacentral:rRNA from 1 species
AAGAUACCCUGGUAGUCCACGCCGUAAACGAUGUCUACUUGGAGGUUGGUGUCUUGAACACUGGCUUUCGGAGCUAACGCGUUAAGUAGACCGCCUGGGGAGUACGGUCGCAAGAUUAAAACUCAAAUGAAUUGACGGGGGCCCGCACAAGCGGUGGAGCAUGUGGUUUAAUUCGAUGCAACGCGAAGAACCUUACCUACUCUUGACAUCCACGGAAUCCUGCAGAGAUGCGGGAGUGCCUUCGGGAACCGUGAGACAGGUGCUGCAUGGCUGUCGUCAGCUCGUGUUGUGAAAUGUUGGGUUAAGUCCCGCAACGAGCGCAACCCUUAUCCUUGUUUGCCAGCACUUCGGGUGGGAACUCCAGGGAGACUGCCGGUGAUAAACCGGAGGAAGGUGGGGACGACGUCAAGUCAUCAUGGCCCUUACGAGUAGGGCUACACACGUGCUACAAUGGCAUAUACAGAGGGCAGCAAGACCGCGAGGUGGAGCGAAUCCCACAAAGUAUGUCGUAGUCCGGAUUGGAGUCUGCAACUCGACUCCAUGAAGUCGGAAUCGCUAGUAAUCGUGGAUCAGAAUGCCACGGUGAAUACGUUCCCGGGCCUUGUACACACCGCCCGUCACACCAUGGGAGUGGGCUGCACCAGAAGUAGAUAGCUUAACCUUCGGGAGGGCG